CUCAGACCUUUGUUGGGCUCACCCGGCCCCCUUACCCACAACUGAAGAGGUAGUAAAGUUCGCCUUCAGGGAAGGAUUUAUCCGUGCCACAUGAUGCUCGUACCUGCAAGCAGCUUAUCCAUGCAAACAAGGCCGAAUAAUGCACACAGAAGGGGAUCAC